UUUGUUCUCUCUCGGUUCAUCUCCCAUUCCGUAAACACCACGCUUCUCCAUUCCAUUCCAACCUGCCAAAAGAGGAACAGAUUGUGAGGAGAUUGCGAGGAGAUUGCAACUGCGAAAAGGUGCAUCUCUUCACUGCGCACUCUCACACACUUCAAUUUGCUUUUCCGUUGAGCAUUGCUGCACCAAAGCUCACUCACCAGUUGCUGCGUGCUUCGUUAUCUUGAAAUUGUUUGAGCGUGAGACAAAUUUCUUCGUCCAUCUGUGGUGUUUACUGGAACGAACCAGGGAGCGCAGCUUAUCAUUGUGCUUCGUUAUGGUUAUCUUGAAAUUGUUCGAGUGCUAGACGAAUUUAUUGGUACAGGUGUGGUGUUUUACUGGAACGACUGGAGCACAGCUUAUCACUGUGCCCAACCCUUUUUGGUAUUAGUUCAUAUACUUUUACUAAGGUCUUUUAGUAUUGUUUUAAAUUCAAACAAUUAUUGCCUCCCAAAGUUACAGUUUAAAAAUCAAUCGAUUUGGAAUUUUCCUGUCUUUAUCUGCUCAAGGCCAUAUAAUAUAUUACAGGGAAUUGCUAAUCUCUGCCCACUUAUGAGGAUUUAUAGCUGUAUUGUUAUUUUGCUACAAGUUAGACAUUUAUCUCAAGGAAAAAAAAUGGUUUAAUGGGGUUUUAAAUAGUAAAGUACAGCAAUAUAGAGGCCUCUGGCAACUACAGUGGCUGCUGUAGCAGGGAAGUUUAGUGCUGCAAUGGUAGAAGACCAA